rnacentral:sRNA from 1 species
UCAAGAGAGCGUGAAACCGUUGGGAGGGAAGCUCGGGGUCCCGAGGCGGUCCGGCCGUUCGGAGUUCAGUCGGCGCCGCCGUCGUCCUCCCUCGCGCGAGCGUCGGAGGCGGCGGCGAGCCAGUGCACUCUCCGUCCGGUCUCGGUGACCGUCAGCGAGGAGAGGGUCCGCUCUCGUCGCGCCCGUCGAGGUGGUGUCUGUCGCCGUCGUUGCCGGCGGCGGUGGAUCGUAAGCUCUUCGGGUGCCCGGGCGUGACGUCUUCUCUUGGCGAGAUUUGGACGACACCCGUCGUCUCUGGUGGUUGUAGGUGCGGGGCUCCCCAGUGGGGCCGCGGGCCGGCGUUUGUCGCGUCGUUCCGGUUCGGGAAGGUGUCUCCUCGUCGCGUUUCCCUCGCGGACUCGCGUCGCGGCUGGGCCUCUCGUCCGCGUUCGUCCGGCGCUCGUCGGUCUCGUCUGCCGCGCCCAGGUCGCUGACGUAGAUUCGGUCCCCCGUGC